GCGACACGCAGACAGACCACGGUUCUCGGCCCGUUCCCUGAGACAGAUGGGUGUGAGGUAGCUCCAGUUUGGAGUCCAUCCAGUUGCAUUAGCUCAUGCUGUGAUAGAGCUAAUUAGUUCUACUAAAAGCUCGAAUCUGACAGUGUCCAGCUGGGGAGGCAUGACCUGAGAAAGGAAAAUGCUGAGACUUCUUAAAGCCCUAUUGUACUUGACAAUAUCAUCUUUUAAGAGAAGCUAGCUACACUGGCUGUAGAAAGGAGGAGGGAAUUGUGAAUUAUAUCUAUGACAGAGGCCAAUCUGACUGGACCAUCAAUGAGAAAAUUCUGGACUUCCUCUGAAAAAGUAGAAUAUCUUCUCAUUGGUUGGCACAGAGAGUUCCAGGAUCAGUCUGUCACAUCGCUUGCAUGAGAACAUAGAACAAUCAGAACAGCGUGUUUGGAAAAAUCUUCAUCUUCUACUUUUACUUUGCAGCCUUAUUCACAUAUGCCUGGAUAUGUUUAUGAAACAAUUCAGUCACUAGUCUUAUGCAGUAAUAUGUAUACUUUCCUGCAAUGACUACAAGAUUUACCAAAGAGUAAAAUUAUAGAGUUACAGUAACAAUAGAGUUAAUAUUAAGCAAUAAUGAGAUAGGUACAGUAAUAAAGACCUUAAAGCAAGAACGGAAAGAUUCCCAUUUUACUUCAUUACAAAAAUUCUCCAGCAGUUUUCUUAGUAAAGAAAGGAGUUGAAGUAAAAUAAGAAACCUACACGGAGGAUGCAGCUCAAAAUGACAGUCUUGAAAGUGUAAGUGUUCUUGCAAAAAUGCAUAAACUGUAUAGAAAAACUCUAGAUUCUGCAGAGUGAUUCAUUAUUUUAAUGACUUCCUGCCUUACUGUAGAACCUCUGUUUUCCUUAGUGCAAGCUGUUUGAAUCUCUGCUAAGGAUUUAGACUUACAAUGAAGCUUUUAUAACUUUCUGGAUCUUUGUCAUAUUGGCACGUGGGUCUUUCUCUUUAUGUAAGGACAAGAAGGAGGCGGAGAGGAGUUGCCCUGCGGGGAUAACGAAAAAUUCAAACCUGAACUGGCCAAGCACUGUUCUGAAAUAGAGUGAUUUGCUUUUUCCCUUAGGAGCUACAUGCUGGCAGGUAGUAAGUGUGGAGGAAAUUUGAGCAUGUUUCAAUGCUAUCUGUUCCAGCAGAUGUCACUAAGAGGUAAUGCUGUUUAUAGGUAGGCCAAAUCAGAGACAAACAGGUAUUUUAAACUAUAAAAAUAUAGAAAAGCUUUUCCUAGCUAGUAAAGUAAUGUUUUGCCACUGAAACAUUUUUUUAGCUUCCAAAUAGGACUUUACUUUGGAUCCAGGUCUGGAAAUAGCCUCCUGUUUUCCAGUAUAUUUCAAAAGCUAUGGUAAUAUAUACUCUCUAUAGAAAACUGUAUGGAGAUCAGGAGAUGAGUUAAGUGCCAUUGCUAAAGAAAAAGCAAAGCUUUAAGAGAAACAGAGGUGUAUUCCUCUCUAGAAAAUGUAUCUUUCUAAAGAGGGCAGCUACCUAAUUUGCCAAUGUUGCAAAGAUCUAAGUCUCUUAGACCCUGUAAUGUGCAGUUACACCAUUGUAACACUGUUAGGACUGAAAGCCCUAUUGUUAAGACUGAAAGUCUUCUGAUUAUUAUGCCAACAAAAAUGAACAUUCAGAGAA